CAUCCCUCUCUUCCUCUUCCAGUCUUUCCUCUUUCACUUUCUCUUUUCCCCUUUUUGCAGCUAACAGAAUCCUCCUUACAAGAAGCACGUCUCUAUUCAGAAAAAAUUCAUAGCGGACUCCGAGCUGCCUUCUGUUGUCUUUCUCGCAAUUGCCGAACGCGGAUUGACCAACUUCGUGCUUUCACACUCUUUUCGGGGCGUUCGUGUUCUUUCUUCGUUCACUCUUUUCGUGCCUAGUUUCAGGCCACCGAACUCAUUUCCACCAUCUGCUAUCUUUUUCGCAGUUUCGAUUGGUUUUUAAUUUUGGCAAAAACUGGAUUUAGGGUUUUGGUGCAUAAGGAGAGAGAGACUGAUCAGGAUUCAGGAAAAGGGGAGAAGGCGGGAAAAAAGAUUUAUCUUCUUUAACGGCGUGGAUUUUGGACGUUUGAUUCAGGGGCAAAUUUGUAUUUUCGUAUUUUAUUUUCCUAUCGAAAUAUAUUAGUGUUAUUUAGCUGUUUUUGUCCAAACCCUAAUUCCUCAUAACUCCUUUCAUUUCUUUCUCUCCCUCUGGAAUCCUCUAUCGGAUUCAGGCGUUCUGGUGCUGACAUCGAAUCUUGCGAGGUUUAUAGGAAGCUACUCGUAGGAAGAAAGAUCCGCGGCUGUCCUGGAGUUUACUGUCAGGUUAAACUUGAAUUUUAGGAUAAUACAACGUUUCUAUUGUACCAAAAGACCAGAAAUAAAUGGAGGACUGGGAGGAUGAUCAAAUACCACCCCUCCUUUUGAAGGAGC